rnacentral:rRNA from 1 species
AGUGAACGCUGGCGGUAGGCCUAACACAUGCAAGUCGAACGGCAGCACAGUAAGAGCUUGCUCUUACGGGUGGCGAGUGGCGGACGGGUGAGGAAUACAUCGGAAUCUACUUUUUCGUGGGGGAUAACGUAGGGAAACUUACGCUAAUACCGCAUACGACCUACGGGUGAAAGCAGGGGAUCUUCGGACCUUGCGCGAUUGAUUGAGCCGAUGUCGGAUUAGCUAGUUGGCGGGGUAAAGGCCCACCAAGGCGACGAUCCGUAGCUGGUCUGAGAGGAUGACAAGCACCACUGAACCUGGAAAACGGUCCAGACUCCACGGGAAGCAAGAGGUGGGGAAUUUUGGAAAAUGGCGGCAGGCCUGAUCCAGCCAUACGGCGUGGGUGAGGAAGCCCUUCGGUUUUAAAGCCCCUUUUGUUGGAAAGAAAAGCAGCAGGUUAAUACCCCGCUGUUCUGACGGUACCCAAAGAAUAAGCACCGGCUAACUUCGU